UACAGGAUAAAUGGUUAACGGGAGCAGACGGGAGCGGGAAUCAACCGAUAGCAAAGACGACAAAAAAAUCUAAAUGCACCUAAAUGCAAAAAAAAAGUAAAUGCACCAUUUUGUAGUUUCCUUUCAAUACGCCUACAAUGUAACGCAAUUAAAAAAUAACUACACGACCCAGCCGUCCCAGAAGCCAUCGGGGCUUUUUGUCACGGCCUACCGCCGUAGUUCAAAGAGCAGCGAUGGAGGGAGCUAACAGCCGCGGAGAAAUUGAUGUGGCAAAACAUGAUUUACAGCGCAAAGUCAGAAGUAAGGACAUGUCUGUUAAGUUCACAGAACUGGUCGGAAAGUCUGAAAUAUUAAUUAAGUUUAUGAGAGUAGAAUGCGACGGUGAUAGCACGAUGUACGCUGCUUGUAAGACAUGCUUAGUCUUAGUCAAGUACGCUAGUGAUUCAGGGAUGAGCGGUCUGAAGAGGCACACUUGCAAGGCAAAUUCGGGAAAGAAUCAGCCAAGCAUCGCUUCGUUCAUCAAGCGAAAAUUGCCGUCAGGUUUCAAGUCUCAUCUGACCGACAAAAUUGCUCGCAUGUAAAUGGGAGCGGUACAGGAGCGUGAGUCAGUUUAAACAGGAGCGGUAUGGGAGUGGGACUCAAUUUACCAGGAGCGGGAUGGGAGUGGGACUCAAUUUACCAGGAGCGGUAUGGGAUGGGAUUAGUUUUUAAACUUUGGUCUGGGAGUGGGACGGGACAAGAUUUCUUUCUAUGGGAGUGGGACGGGACAGGAGUGAAAAUCCACUCCCGUGUCAUCCUCUAGCCCGGACCCGUGAUCCAACUCUGCAGGGCCAACUUGCUGUGAGUACGUGCUAACCACUGAGCCCCCGUGCUGCAGAGCAUCUCCACAGAGAACAGCCUCCUGCUGCUGAAAACAAGGCUAAUAAAAGAGAGCAGCGUCUGCAGGUGCCCCACAUAUCCCGGGUCCCUCAUUUACGCCAACAGUACAGCCCCCAGUGCCUCAGUCAG